AUUGAACGCUGGCGGCAUGCUUUACACAUGCAAGUCGAACGGUAACAGGGUGCUUGCACCGCUGACGAGUGGCGAACGGGUGAGUAAUACAUCGGAAUGUACCCAGUAAUGGGGGAUAACGCUUCGAAAGGAGUGCUAAUACCGCAUACGCGCGGUGGGGGAAAGUGGGGGACCGCAGGGCCUCACGUUCCUGGAGCAGCCGAUGGCGGAGUAUCUAGUUGGUGAAGGAAAGGCUCACCAAGGCGACGAUCAGUAGCGGGUCUUAGAGGACGAUCCGCCACACUGGAACUGAGGCACGGUCCAGACUCCUACGGGAGGCAGCAGUGGGGAAUCUUGGACAAUGGGCGAAAGCCUGAUCCAGCAAUGCCGCGUGCGUGAAGAAGGCCUUCGGGUUGUAAAGCGCUUUUGUCUGGGAGCAAAUACUGGCCUCUAAUACAGGUCGGGGAUGAGAGUACCAGAAGAAUAAGGACCGGCUAACUACGUGCCAGCCGCCGCCGUAA
rnacentral:rRNA from 1 species